rnacentral:tRNA from 1 species
UGCCCGGAUGGUGGAAUGCAGACACGGCGAGCUUAAACCUCGCUGCCCCUUCGCGGGCGUGCCGGUUCAAGUCCGGCUCCGGGCACUUU